AGAGAGAGAGAGGGGGGGGAGGAGAGAGAGAGGUGUGGGCCUUAAAUGGGCUGAGCGGUAGUUCGAACAGAUGGAACCGAAUUCUGGCAACUUCGUUGAUUACUGGCUCGCCAGUUGAUUCAGCCGUCCAGAGACUCCAUAGCCCUUGACUACCACGUGGCAUUUCAGUGGGCCUUUCGAAUUGGGCACAGAAUCUUCAAGUUGUGUCGUCCACAAGUCAUAAUCGCCAGGAGAAAGUCCACAUCCGAGCUAUCACGCUGCAUUGUCCAAUUCCAUGAAUUAUAAUAUAAGAAACACGAUGCCCACUGGCACCUGAGAAAAAAAUUUCCUGAGCUCAGGCCUGCGUUACACAGCUCAUCAUGAUUGUUCUGAAGGUAUUAACGUACACAGUAUUCACAGGAAUUCAGUAACCAAGUAUAAUUGUUGAGGCAUACCUGAAAUAAUCACCACUUUCAACCCUUGCCGGCAUCAACGAAGAGGAUGCUGUGGAAGGAGUGAGGAAAAUAUGAAGAAGAUGACAGAGGAGGCGGUCUGGUCUGCAGAUGGGUUUCACCAAGGAGACUCUGUUAAUGGUGAUGAGGAUGAGGAGAGGGGCUCGAACAAAGGCCCCAACUAUUGCACAUCUAAUUUUCUUUUACCUGGCUGCUGCUCCGACGUUCAGUGAGGCGAGUAGAUGGGCCUCGUGACAGAGCAUCUGGUUGAAGAUUUCUUCCGGAAGCAAGGCCGAUCAGGAUUGACGCCUCGAAUGGUUUGAACACACAGACUCUGAUGUGGGCGAACAGGUUCAGAGGUCCGCAAAACGGUCAUCCACACGGCAGACAUCAAAUGCCCUCCUGAGAAUCCAGCACCAACCCGUAGAGCCGACCCAAGGCUCGGGUUAGUGAGAGAGAGAGAGACAGAGGAGGGGGGGGGGGAGCUCGCCUUGUAUAUGCUCCAGUCGAAGAGUAGUGGAGGGGUUUUGGCAACUAAGAGCAAGCUGAUGAAGAGGAGCCCAACACAGAUCAAUGACAAUAUGGGACGUUGGAGGCAUCACCAUAGCAGGAACACCAAUAAGAGAGAGACACCAGUAACUAAUACUCCCCAAUUACUUAGUCAUGAAAUCAUCUCUAUAUUCAUAUUCAUAUUCAUCAUAUUUGCCGCUCUCUAAGGAGUCAGAAUAGAGAGUGUUAAAAGGUCAAUGACUGCAGAAAGUAUGAGGUAGAUAGAGGUCAUGUGGAGCUUGGAGGACCACAGGCUACUUGAUCGGCUGUGGUGGUUGACCUACGAGCAAGACAAUGCCAGCGAAAUCAGGAAAGCAGCUAACAUCUGACAUUCUCACUCCUGAAAGAGCCCCAAAUAUGAUGAAUAAGAAGAAUACGAGGAUGACCCCCUGACUAAGGAAUUGGGGACUGUGGGUCGCAAAUAUCUCUCUCUCAGUGGUGUUCAUGUUACGGUGUUGUCUCCAAUUUCCUAGGUUGUUGCUGAUCUAUGCUGGGCUUCUCUUUAUCAGUAUGUUGCUGAUCACCAUGACCCCUCCUGUUCUCUUCGAUUGGAGCAAAUACGAGGCAAGCUCUCCACCCAUUGAAGCAGAGCACCGCACAGAGGAUCGGCACCCAAAUAUCAGCAAAGAGUUAACAACAGCAAAACUUUGAUCACAGUUUGCAGGAGGGUAAUAAUCGUGAAUUUGGUAGACACUUGGAUGGCAGACAUGAUGAACACUUGCUAAACACCAAGUAUUCUUUCAAACAUCCCGGAAGCAGUCCUCUUAAAAAAAAAGCCGCCAUUCCAACAAGAAAUCACAUCUCUCACGGCCAAUUACCGUGGCUAUUUCUCAUCCUAAGCAUAUCUAUUCGAUAAAUCCAUAAACUGCCUCAAGGAAGACAGCUUCACAUUCAACCAUGGACAACCACUAUUGAACCCUCCAAAAUUCCUGAUUACUUCUCUCUAAUGUAAACAAAAACAUAAUCCCACAGGUAUUUUAAAAAAAAAUGGUGUUUUAGAAUGAGCGGCAGCAACAUCAGACAUGAAUCAAAUACUUCAAGAAAGCCGAUUCCAUGGACUUAAUCACAAAAUUUCUCAUAUAAGAUUCGCAUCUGACGAUAAAAAACCACCGCGAGUUCCCCUAAAAGUAGACACCGAAGCCCUUCAGAAACCCAGAUCCACUCCACACACAAGAUUCGUCUCAAAUCAUCUGCCAAAAAGGUCAACGUACCCCAGAUCCCUGAGCUGAUAACCACGCAAUCUCAGUCAUCCCAGCACGCAGAGUAGAGAGCGAAGGGUAGAAGAAUACGCCGGGAAAGGGGGAUCGGGGCGGGGGGUGAAACAGAUGACAGAAAGGUAGAUCGACCAAUACGGAGCUGCUGAGAACAGGGCGACAAAACGGGUUGAACCAGAGAGAUCCGAUCACUUCUAAGAGGAAGGAAGAGAAAAGCUACGCUGCAACACUGAAUGAGAGAGAAAGAGAGAGAGAGAGAGAGAGAGAGAGAGAGAGAGAGAGAGAGAGAGAGAGAGACG
rnacentral:lncRNA from 1 species